CAGUUUUGGCGACCACGAAGGGACUCUAGGCUCGCCCCAACAAGCAAGACUACAUUCCUCCUCUCGGACAGGUCCAGGCGGCACAGGGUGAAAGAAGUCCUGCUCCAAGGAUCCUGAGCAAACCUGCCAUUUGUUAAAACCAGGUAACUGGGUCUACAUAAAGGUCCAUCAACAAAAGACUACUCUGGCCCCAUGCUGGAAAGGCCCUUAUUAAGUCCUGCUAACUACCAACACCACUGUGAAGUGCCGAGGACUGACUGCUUGGACCCAUGCUUCUUACUGCAAAAAGACCCCUCCACCUCGAGAUGACUUCACUUCGACUACUGAUCAGCCUGUCCCUCCUGGGUUUUUUUUC